UACGUAGGGUGCAAGCGUUAAUCGGAAUCACUGGGCGUAAAGCGCGCGUAGGCGGUCUGUUAAGUGGGAUGUGAAAUCCCCGGGCUCAACCUGGGAAUUGCAUUCGAUACUGGGUAGCUAGAGUUCGGCAGAGGGAAGCGGAAUUUCGGGUGUAGCGGUGAAAUGCGUAGAUAUCUGGAGGAAUACCGGUGGCGAAGGCGGCAUCCUGGACCGACAUUGACGCUGAGGAGCGAAAGCUAGGGGAGCAAACGGG
rnacentral:rRNA from 1 species